rnacentral:rRNA from 1 species
CAGGACGAACGCUGGCGGCGUGCCUAAUACAUGCAAGUCGAACGGUCUUUCUAUGGAAGCUUGCUUCCACUGAGAAGAUAGUGGCGAACGGGUGAGUAACACGUGGGUAACCUGCCCAUAAGAGGGGGAUAACAUCCGGAAACGGGUGCUAAUACCGCAUAGUUUUCUUGAUCGCAUGAUUGAGAAAGGAAAGACGGCCUUUGUGCUGUCGCUUAUGGAUGGACCCGCGGCGUAUUAGUUAGUUGGUGAGGUAACGGCUCACCAAGACGAUGAUACGUAGCCGACCUGAGAGGGUGAUCGGCCACAUUGGGACUGAGACACGGCCCAAACUCCUACGGGAGGCAGCAGUAGGGAAUCUUCCGCAAUGGACGAAAGUCUGACGGAGCAACGCCGCGUGAGUGAAGAAAGGUUUUCGGAUCGUAAAACUCUGUUGUCAGAGAAGAACAAGUUGGAGAGUAACUGCUCCAGCCUUGACGGUAUCUGACCAGAAAGCCACGGCUAACUACGUGCCAGCAGCGGC